AAAAAAAAAAAAAAAGAAGCCCUGAGUGAUACUAGAGGUCCAUUUGCAUGCCAGAACUCAAUUCUGUAAGUUGUUUUCUAUUCUAGGUGUCACUCUGAUCCCAGUACAUAGCUUGAAAUUCAAGCUGCUUGUAAUGGACUCACUUCAAUGUAAUUAGAUACUUGAGAGAUCAUUUGAUGUAACUUCAAUUUUUUCUACUCUACUAACAAAAGGGAUAGUAAUUCUUCUAAUGCUAUGAUCUUUUCUUUUAUGUUUCUCCCAACACAUAUGGGUUCUUUUUCCAGAUUAUUAUCUCUCUUACCUUUCCUAUGUCUAUCUG
rnacentral:misc_RNA from 1 species